UACGAGGGGGGCAAAUGUUGUUCGGAAUCACUGGGCGUAAAGGGAGCGUAGGCGGGUUUCUAAGUCAGGUGUUUAAUCCCGGGGCCCAACCCCGGACAGGCACUUGAAACUGGGAAUCUUGAACAGGGGAGAGGUCAGUGGAAUUGGAGGUGUAGCGGUGGAAUGCGUAGAGAUCUCCAAGAACACCAGUUGCGAAGGCGGCUGACUGGACCCAUAUUGACGCUGAGGCUCGAAAGCAUGGGGAGCAAACAGG
rnacentral:rRNA from 1 species